AGAAUCAACGCUGGCGGCGUGCCUCAGACAUGCAAGUCGAACGCGAAAGUCCCCUUCGGGGGACAAGUAGAGUGGCGCACGGGUGAGUAACACGUAGGUAAUCUACCUUCGGAUGGGGAAUAAUAACCGGAAACGGUUGCUAAUACCGCAUAAUGCAGCGGCACCUAAUGGUGACAGUUGUUAAAGCGGGGGAUCGAAAGACCUCGCGUCUGAAGAGGAGCCUGCGGCGGAUUAGCUAGUGGUAGGUAACGCCUACAAGGCGACGAUCCGUA
rnacentral:rRNA from 1 species